AUUGAACGCUGGCGGCAGGCCUAACACAUGCAAGUCGGACGGUAGCACAGAGGAGCUUGCUCCUUGGGUGACGAGUGGCGGACGGGUGAGUAAUGUCUGGGGAUCUGCCCGAUAGAGGGGGAUAACCACUGGAAACGGUGGCUAAUACCGCAUAACGUCGCAAGACCAAAGAGGGGGACCUUCGGGCCUCUCACUAUCGGAUGAACCCAGAUGGGAUUAGCUAGUAGGCGGGGGAAUGGCCCACCUAGGCGACGAUCCCUAGCUGGUCUGAGAGGAUGACCAGCCACACUGGAACUGAGACACGGUCCAGACUCCUACGGGAGGCAGCAGUGGGGAAUAUUGCACAAUGGGCGCAAGCCUGAUGCAGCCAUGCCGCGUGUAUGAAGAAGGCCUUCGGGUUGUAAAGUACUUUCAGCGGGGAGGAAGGCGGUGAGGUUAAUAACCUUGCCGAUUGACGUUACCCGCAGAAGAAGCACCGGCUAACUCCGUGCCAGCAGCCGCAGUAA
rnacentral:rRNA from 1 species